rnacentral:rRNA from 1 species
GACGAACGCUGGCGGCGUGCUUAACACAUGCAAGUCGAACGGAAAGGCCCUGCUUUUGUGGGGUGCUCGAGUGGCGAACGGGUGCGUAACACGUGAGUAACCUGCCCUUCACUUUGGGAUAACUUCAGGAAACUGGGGCUAAUACAGGAUAGGAGCUCCUGCUGCAUGGUGGGGGUUGGAACGUUUCGGCGGUUGGGGAUGGACUCGCGGGUUAUCAGCUUGUUGGUGGGGGAGUGGCUUACCAAGGCUUUGACGGGUAGCCGGCCUGAGAGGGUGACCGGCGACAAGGGGACUGAGAGACGGCCCAGACUCCUACGGGAGGCAGCGGUGGGGAAUAUUGCACAAUGGGAGGAAGCCUGAUGCAGCAACGCCGCGUGCGGGAUGACGGCCUUCGGGUUGUAAACCGCUUUCGCCUGUGACGAAGCGUGAGUGACGGUAAUGGGUAAAGAAGCACCGGCUAACUACGUG